rnacentral:rRNA from 1 species
AGUGAACGCUGGCGGUAGGCCUAACACAUGCAAGUCGAACGGCAGCACAGUAAGAGCUUGCUCUUACGGGUGGCGAGUGGCGGACGGGUGAGGAAUACAUCGGAAUCUACUUUUUCGUGGGUGAUAACGUAGGGAAACUUACGCUAAUACCGCAUACGACCUACGGGCGAAAGCAGGGGAUCUUCGGACCUUGCGCGACUGAAUGAGCCGAUGUCGGAUUAGCUAGUUGGCGGGGUAAAGGCCCACCAAGGCGACGAUCCGUAGCUGGUCUGAGAGGAUGAUCAGCCACACUGGAACUGAGACACGGUCCAGACUCCUACGGGAGGCAGCAGUGGGGAAUAUUGGACAAUGGGCGCAAGCCUGAUCCAGCCAUACCGCGUGGGUGAAGAAGGCCUUCGGGUUGUAAAGCCCUUUUGUUGGGAAAGAAAGGCAGCAGGUUAAUACCCCGCUGUUCUGACGGUACCCAAAGAAUAAGCACCGGCUAACUUCGUG